ensembl:lincRNA
CAUAUUUUGUAUUAGCUCAUACAUAAUUAUUUCUUUGUAUGUAGCUCAUACAUAUUGUAUUUCUUUGUUUGUAUUAUAUAUAUAUAAUUAUUUCUUUGUAUGUAGCUCAUAUUCACUUGAAGAGUCUAUGGAGUGGAAUAAAACAAUGUUCACAAUCGGUGGUAGUUUUUAUUGCCUGUAAAGAGAAUGCAAUGAUUUCAUAUUAAUUUUUGAGAUAUGGACUAUUUUAAGGAAUGUAAGAUAAACAUUGAAAUAUCAUGUGUGAAGAUUAUGAAAAUGUAAUUGCUGUGUAAUAAUAACAUGACUCCCUUGCACAUGCUGUCCUGGAUAAGGUGGUAAGGUUCUCUACAAUCUUGUACACUCUUCAUUAGAAGUUUCACACUAGGUGGGAAUGCAUAUCCUGGACGCUGGGCAAAUAUUGGUCUUCAGUUUUAGGCAGUAUUCAGAUAGAUAUUGGAAGUCAAGAUUUAUUUAUAUACUUUUAAAAGUUGGAAUCUCAAUGGAUUAUUUUUAAUUAAAAUUUAACUGAGAACAUUUUCCCUUUCUUAUGCAGGGAAAUCAGAGGACUCAGGCAGUUCAUGGAGGCAGCAGGAAUGUUGUUAUUUCAAGGAUUUGAUGUACUAUUUUACUUUUCUGUCCAGAAGUGCUUUAGCAAACACCAAGGAAUCAUAUCAAAAUAUUUGAAGAUUAUGGGAAAAGAGAAGAAAAACAGAAUGACUCAUCCACUGACAUGUUUGGAAAGAUUAAAUUGGACAUACUCAUUUCAGCUCUACGACUUUUUCUGGAAUGGAGCAGCUUGUAAGAGGACAUCAUUGAUUAUUCUGCAUGUUCUAAGAUAUGUGCUAUGGAAUGGAAGUGGAUUUAUUUUGCAGCCUGAAUUAAGGUGGGAUGCCUUACUACCUGUAUCCAGAAGCUUGUACCUCUCACCUUAGGGAAUGGAGAACAGCUUCCUUACCCAUGUCCUGUCACUAAAAUAGAGCAACUGAGUACAGUAAUGCCCCCUUGUCCAUGGUGGUUUCAUUUUCCACGGUUACAGUUAUGCACAGCCAACUGCAUUCAGAAAAUAAGUGAGUACAUUCUAUUAACAUAUUUUGAAAUCAGAGACCACAUUCAUGUAGCUUUUAUUGCUGUAAUUGUAUUUAUUAUUGUUUGUUAUGGUUCAUCUCUUACUGAGCCUAAUGUAUAAAUGAAACUUUUCAUAGGUGUCUAUGUAUAGGAAAAUACAUAGCAUAUGUAGGGUUAGGUACUGUCCAAGGCUUCAGACAUUCACUGGGGGUCUUGGAACAUAUCCCUAGUGGAUAAAGAGGGACUACAAAAUAACUGAGAUAGAACUCUAGUGGAACAAAUAAUGCUUUUGCACCAUUGUUAAUUUACAUUCUUUUUCUUUCUGUAUCAACUAAUAAUAGCAAAAGACAGAUGUUGCACAUGAAUAAUGUUGAUGGAAAUCUCAAAUCACCAAUAUAUGAGAAACAAAAUGCUGAAUUUAUUUUUAAUUUGUUAGUUUUUUUUCUUGACUAAGGGAGAACUGUUUGUAAAUAGAAAAAUUCAGCUACUCACUGAACAAAGAAAAUGAGAAGAUUUUGGUAUUUAGGAUUAGGAAGAAAACUGGAGCUUGAAUUAUAUUUAAACAAAGCAGUAUUUUGAUUAGAGCUUAUUAUUGAAAUAAUACAUUCUACAAUCCAGAGUGGUGCAGUCCUAGGGCACCAACUCAUUGAGAAAAGUUUAAUGCAAAAAAAAAUCUUUGAACACACUUGCAGCUUCCUGCGAAUAUGAGACAUAUCCUUCAGGAAAGCAGAAUUUAUAGAUUUCUAUGUAGGUACAAAAAUGUCUUAAAGCAAGUGUGGAAUUUCUUUGUUUUCAUUCCCUCCCUUUGUCCUUUCUUGGCUAAGUCACAGGGGAGACCACUACAUAUUGUCCAGAUCUCUAUACUGUCAUGAUUCUCCUUAGGAAAUAACACUUAGAGUAUAAUACAGGUAGGACAAGUGAUUCUGGAACUUUCACUUGUAUUAGUGAAUCAAGGUGACAAUGUGGAAUGACAGUACUUCAUCAAGGAAGAAAAAUGUUAUCACAACUUUAUUUCAAUUUACAAUUCUGGGAGGCUCAAGAGUUAAAUCAAGCUCUGUCCUGUUCCCUGGUCUGACAGUUCUCCUCUCUCCACAGCAUCAAACAAUUUGCUAACAACUUUGCACUUAUUAACUGAUUUAAACUUUAUAAGAAUUCUAUUAGUUAAGCAAGUUAUUACCCUCUUUAUAAAUUAAGAAAAUAAGCCAGGGAGAUAUUGAAGAAUUUGUUCAAGCUAACACAGUUCUAAAUAUUCAAGUAAUAUGUGAAAGUCAAGAAGAAAUUAAAGAUCAGGAAAAAAAAUAAAUAUUUGCUAUUAUGGGGUUCCACCACUUGAAUGUCUAAAUAUUGUACAAUGAUGAAAGCUAUAUAUCUUGCAUUAAUGUCCAACACAUUUAAAUGGCUUGCCAUUUUUGUAUUCCACCUAAUUGCCUUAAUAAUGAAAUUUGAGUUUCUAUGGCAUUUUAUUUUUUGCAAGUUAUUUUACACUUUGAAUGUGUGAACACACACACAAUGUAGCAACAUAUUAUUAUCAAUAUUAUUCACUUCAGAAAACAAACUUUGAAAUGCGAAUUAACAAUAUGGCAUUUAUUCUCUUCCUAUUAGGAAUUUAUAUGUAUAAUUCAUUUAUUAAUCAUGUAUCAAAUUAUACAAUAACUUACUAAAUAGUUUUAAAAGGUGGUUUCCAUGAACUUUAAAAUUAUAUAACCACUCAUACCUUUUUUGUGUCUGUAACUAGAGAAUGCAUUGAUUAUAUUUUUAGAUUAAUGACUUGUAUGGACAUUUAACAGGCAGAAAUGAGGGAGUUGCUGGCAUUUUUUUUUCAACUUUUAUUUUAGGUUCAGGGAGUGCAUGUGAAGGUUUGUUAUAUGGGUAGAUUGCAUGUCACUGGGGUUUGGUGUACAAAUGAUUUUGUUACCCAGAUAGUGAGUAUAGUACCUGAUAGGCAGUUCUUUGGUCCUCAGCCUAUUCCCACCCUCCACCCUCAAGUAGGCCCUGGUGUCUGUUGUUCCCCUCUUUGUGUUCAUGUGUCCUUAAUGUUUAA